rnacentral:rRNA from 1 species
AGUGAAUAGAUACCCGGGUAGUCCCAGCUGUAAACGAUGCGCGUUAGGUGUAUCAGUGACCACGAGUCACUGAGGUGCCGAAGAGAAAUCGUGAAACGUGCCGCCUGGGGAAGUACGGUCGCAAGGCCCGAAAACUUAAAGGAAUUGGCGGGGAGCACCACAACGGUGGAGCCUGCGGUUUAAUUACGGACUCAACGCCGGGAAACGUACACCAGAUAAGACAGCUGAAUGAUAGUCGGGCGUGAAGACUCUACUUGACUAGCUGAGAGGAGGUGCAUGGCCGUCGUCAGUUCGUACUGUGAAGCAUCCUGUUAAGUCAGGCAACGAGCGAGACCCACGCCAACAGUUGCUAGCUCGUCCUCCGGGAGUGAGAGGACACUGUUGGGACCGCCUCUGCUAAAGAGGAGGAAGGAAUGGGCAACGGUA